GCCCUGUCUGCCUACAUUUUAACUCCAGUCUUGCUGCCUUCUGGGUUGGGCAAGCUCUUUAUUCACGUACUCCCCUCCGUGGGGUGUAUAGUUUUCUGUGGCUUCCAGUUACUUCUCAGACUCAUCACCACCUCUUGGUACCAGUGGUCAUGCAACCUUCUUGCAGAUUCCUCUGUCAUGUCUCCUGGGGCUUUGUGUGGAAAGACAGCUUCUUUGGGGAUGCACUGAACCGAGCUGGGAUGCGGCUGGUUUAGAUUAACAGCAUAGCCCUAUUGUCCAUCUCUUGCUGGGCCAGCACAGCAGAGGGAAACGAGGAGAAUAUGGUAGAGACGGGAGAGGAAGAAGCAAGCAGAUAUGUCACGGAGAAACGGGAGAGAAAGAGGAGCUGAGAAUUCUGUGAGCGGAGAAGAAAGGCAGGACUGAAGAAGGUGACCUGGCACUCCUGAGUCUUCAGCGGCUCUCCAGAAAUCUUCCAGGCCUUUGGUACUGGAUCCCCACUGCUGAGGGACUCAGCCUUGAAGAUGGGGUUCUCAGCCUUUCUUGUGUAAGGCAGCACAUUUGGGCUACUCUGACCGUAUCAUCUCAGGGAAGCUUUGGAUUCACUAAGUACCCCAGUUGGGCUCCAAUUCUCCAUCUCCACGUCUCUGCCUUCUGAGUACUGGUGUUACAGGUGACUCAACCAUCCAGAAGCAAGCUAAAGGAAUUUACCAUUGUACAGGGGUUGCAACUAUACCUACUCAUUUGGCAGGGAGUUGGUAG